rnacentral:lncRNA from 1 species
CUUGAAGAUUAAGCAUAAUCCAUUUUCCAAGCAAUUAUUGCCAUAUUGUUGUGACUUACACUCACCCACCCCUCAUUUUUUUGCAAACCAUACAGGACUAAGGACGAAUGAACCUAUGUGCCUGCAUGCACUCCUUUAGUCCUGGAGGCUAUUAACACUCUUCUUACUGCCAAGAGCUAGAUGCCUGAGGCUGCAUCAGGCAGAGCCUUAAUUAUCCAAUUUACAGUUAAAAUUCUGAUAAUGUAAUUUUUGUUUAGGUAAUUAAAAUGCCUUUUAACAAAGCCCUGAGAAAAUUCUGAGAAUAAAAGUCCUAAAGCACAUUUUCACCUCUCUUUCAUGUUUCUUAACAAUAUUGAUUUAUGAUUUAUUACAAGAGUGCACCGUGACAAUUUCUUUACCCUCUCCAAACUCAAAACUGCUACUGACUACCAUUAUUUCAAGACCAAAUUUAAGGCAAAGAACACAAGAAGGAAGACGACUCCAGGAAAACAAAACAAUGGAAAGUUAAAAUAAUCUGCAAAAAUAAAAAUCUAAGCUUGAAAUCACUUAAACCUUUAUAAUGAAAGAGAAAAAAACAAAAGAAAGCUUAUCUUUUUAUGGUCUUACCCUGAC